rnacentral:lncRNA from 1 species
GUCGGGGCCCUCCUUCUAGCGCCAUCUGUUGCGGAAUUUUCACCCCGACAACAGCUGAGCAGAGAAAGCGACUGCGUCCCUUCCCGAGGUAUUGUCCGCUUUGGGGCUAACCCUGCGAGCGUGGAGCUCGCACAGGGCGCACACCCGACUUGCGGGUGCGGAGCUCGCACAGGGGGUUUGGGCGACCCCUCACGGUUUUGUCCCACAAAAGGGCCCUCGGGAGGAAAGGUUGGACCUCCUCAUUAUAAGGCAUAAACCUUUCCGCUGAUUAGCCGAUGUGGGACUAAA